CCUACGGGAGGCAGCAGUAGGGAAUCUUGCGCAAUGGGCGAAAGCCUGACGCAGCCAUGCCGCGUGAAUGAUGAAGGUCUUAGGAUUGUAAAAUUCUUUCACCGGGGACGAUAAUGACGGUACCCGGAGAAGAAGCCCCGGCUAACUUCGUGCCAGCAGCCGCGGUAAUACGAAGGGGGCUAGCGUUGCUCGGAAUUACUGGGCGUAAAGGGAGCGUAGGCGGAUAGUUUAGUCAGAGGUGAAAGCCCAGGGCUCAACCUUGGAACUGCCUUUGAUACUGGCUAUCUUGAGUAUGGGAGAGGUGAGUGGAACUCCGAGUGUAGAGGUGAAAUUCGUAGAUAUUCGGAAGAACACCAGUGGCGAAGGCGACUCACUGGCCCAUUACUGACGCUGAGGCUCGAAAGCGUGGGGAGCAAACAGGAUUAGAUACCCUGGUAGUCCACGCCGUAAACGAUGAGUGCUAGUUGUCGGCAUGCAUGCAUGUCGGUGACGCAGCUAACGCAUUAAGCACUCCGCCUGGGGAGUACGGUCGCAAGNUUAAAACUCAAAGGAAUUGACGG
rnacentral:rRNA from 1 species